rnacentral:lncRNA from 10 species
CCAUCAGCGCGUUCAAUCAAUCUUAGUGUUUUGAACCCGCCUCCAGAUUGUUUUCCUGAAUUGUGGCUGCGCAGAGACUCCGGGGUGGGAUGAGAACCAAGACUGCCCCACUGCCUCCCUACCCGACUGACAUUGGACACGGAACAAGAGACCUGACAGGGUCCAACAGAGAAACGCGGAUGGGCUCAGAGCUUCUUUCCAGACCCGCCAGUCUCUGGUGCAACAGAUGAUGUCCGGGAAGAGGCGGAGCCAGGUGUGACAGUUCUGAGGGCCAAAGACAGCCGUUGGGUUAAUCAAUUGUUCUUUGGAGCAGCUUGGACACCUUUAGAGGGUGGGCUCUAUAGGUGAAAGAACGGCAGGCGGACCGACCAGAAGUUCGUGCUCUGAUGGCCGGGGAUGUGCAGAACUAGAGGAUGCGGAGCCGAUUGACAGCAGGCCUGAGAGAGAGAUCGAGCACUCACAGCCCAACAAAACAAUCAUCUGCUCUGCUGGAGUCAAGCAGCAGGUGCAGCUGGCAAUCUAACCUGCUGCUAGGUUUGCCAUCACCGUCCUUGGGUGACAAAACCAGAAAAAAGCAGGGGCAGCCAUGUCCUGAGCAGCCCUGUGGAGAGACCCACCAGCUAAGGAACUGAAGCCUC